rnacentral:tRNA from 1 species
GAACAGCCGGCGCGCCAGGACCGAGCCGGCCGACAGUUCGCGGCUGUCGAGCUUAUCGUAGAGCAGUUCGAGUUCGCCGCCGAUCU